GGUCGCGUCACGCCGCCAGAAUAAUUAUGGCAAAAAUUAGAAAGCAUUUAACCCUAAGCGAUAAAGCCAAAAUAUUAGAAGAAUUAAAGAAAGGUGUCGGAGUGACCGUUUUGUCUAGACAAUAUGGUGUUGCUAAAUCCACUAUAUGCGCGAUUCGUCACAGAAGGAUAAAGAUUUUGAAACGAGUCAACAGUACUUUCACAGGACCUGGAAAAGCGAAAACUUUAAGACAAUAAGACUGUCCUAGAAUGGAAAAAGCUUUAUAUAAGUGGUUCUUAAAAACGAGGGAGAGAAAUUUUCCGGUAACUGGUUUAAUGAUCCAAGAGAAGGCCAAAUUACUUCACAGUCAAUAUAAGGAAUCUCCUUCUUUUAAUGCGAGCAGUGGUUGGAUGAAAAAGUAUGGAAUACGCUUCCUAACGAUUUCAGGAGAAAAAUUAUCGUCAGAACCCGAGCUUGUUGAUCCUUUUAAAAGAACUUUACGCCUAAAAAUAAAUGAGCUUCAGCUAACAAAAGAACAGAUUUACAAUGCCGAUGAAACUGGUUUGUAUUGGAAACUUCUGCCCGGAAAGACAUAUGUAGCUCGCGAAGAAAAAACUGCCCCAGGUAGGAAAACCGAGAAGCAAAGAGUGACUUUUCUAUCAUGCACAAACGCGGCAGGUACUCACAAUGUUAAACCAUUAAUUAUUGGUAAAGCAAAAAAUCCACGUUCGUUUCGAAAUUUUAACUGUCCCGUCCAUUAUAGAAACUCCAAAACUGCCUGGAUGACGGCAGCAAUUUUCAAAGAAUGGUUUCACCGAAUGUUUAUUCCUGAGGUAAGUUUUGUCAUAGGAAGACGUUUUAAAUUUUAGCAUCUUUGUAUCUCGAGAAUUAGAAAAAAUGGUUUCAGUCCUUUUGGACUACGAUUUUUACAAAUUUACGCCCUUUUUUUAUUCCUUUUAAGAAUUUAAACUGCACAUUAUUCUAGCAUUUGUUCUUGUCUUAGGUUACGGAAUUCCUACAGUGCCAAAACCUUUCAGUUAAAGCCAUGCUUUUGUUGGACAACGCAGCAAGCCAUCCACCUGCAGAACAGCUAAGAAGUGAUGAUGGUUCCAUUUUCACUGUUUAUAUGCCACCUAACGUUACUCCGCUAAUCCAGCCAAUGGACCAAAACGCUAUUCGUCUGACAAAACUAUUUUAUCGAAAAAAUUUGUUAUCACAAAUUAUUGGAACUAACCAGGAUAUCGGAGAUGCUCUAAAACAAUUUCGUUAAAGGACGCCAUUCUAAAUUUGGCUUUGGCGUGGAGAAAUGUAAGGCCUGAAGUUAUAGAAAAAUGCUGGCAUAAUUUACUUUCACCAUUAGCCGACGAAGUUGACGGUGAGGAAGAUAACAUGCCCUUAAGUGUUUUUUUACGGAGCCGAAUAAGAAAUGAAGACAUUGACAUUGACACAGUGAGAUCAGAAAUCAUUACUUUAUUGCAGACUUUUAAUCCAGAAGUUCAUAUUCAACCUAUUGAUGUAGACGAUUGAAAUAAAGAUAACUUACCUGACACAAAAGAAACUAAUGACCAAAGUGAAAGUGAUGGAAACGAUCAAAAUGAUGGAGUACAAGAAGAAAUGGUAGUAAAUAAGGAACGAGUGACAACAAAUUCGGCAAAGAAGUCGAUUAACAACAUCCUUCAAUGGGCCGAAGAAAAUGAAGAUAAAGUGGAAUAUUCUAGUAUUAUACUCGUUUUACAAAACUUAAGGAAUACGAUGGUGCAAACAGGACUAAAAACAAAAAAGAAAACAAAAAUUACUUCAUUUUUUGAAAAAAUAGAUUAGAUUGCCGUUUUUUUAUUUUAUUUUAAUUACAUAUGUAAUAUUUUUUCUGUUUCGCAUUAAUAAAGUUAGUUUUCUAAAGACAAACGUUGCUUUAAUAUGUACAUUAAACAAAAAUUUGAUAGAGUGAACAAAUCGAUAUAGUGAACUGGAUGUGCAUUAAUUAGUUCACUAUAUCGCGAGUCUACUGUAAUUUCUCAAAUAUGAAGGCAUUUUAAAUUAUUUUUUCUAUUUUUUAUGAAUCAAUUUACAAUAUGUUUCCAGAAAGUUUGCUUUAUUGUUCUAGUUCUAUAGAGCACCUUUAAAUAAAUUAUGUUUUUAGGCAAUACCUAAUGACCUAAUACGCGGAGCAACCAUUGUUGAUUUCAUACAACCUAUUUCAUUCGUGGUGCAUCUAUUUACACUUUCUUAUCGUCAUUUCCUAUUCUAUUCUGCAUUCAUCCUUCUAUUCCGUUUUUGCUCUAUUUACCAAAACAACGCUUCGUGGCUCUUAACAAAAAAACCUACUAUAUACGCAAAAAAUGAAGUACAUAAGCUGACUAAUUCCAAUUUUCUACUAGAAACUUAAAACAUUACAUAGUGGAGCAUAUCGUGAGCAGAACCCAUUUGUCUUAUCCAGGAUCCUAUUUUUAUCCCCCCCUCCUGGAUUUAAGGAUUCGUCGAUAUCAUUUAAAUAUUGCGUUGGAAGAAUAUCUGGACUGGCGCGCUUCGCCACUAUUGAUUUUAACUGUACGGCGUGGAAAGUGUCUGCCGUAGCUGGAAUCCAGCUCCUAUAUAGUAGCUAACAUUUAAUAUUUUGUGUGUGCGUGUUUUUUUGGUUGGCAAUAUAUUAAUAUUAUUGGUGAUUGGGAUACUGCGGAGAACCUCGAAUGAGCAGCACUGUCAAAGCGAGUUUUUCAGAGAACAUAAAUAUAAAAGUUAAUUGGUAAUUCAAUUUUCGUUUUUCUUAAACGGCAUCUUGGCAUGAUCAUGACAAUAUUCAAUUUGGUCUGUAUGCAUGCGUAUCUAAGCGAGGAAAGCUUAAAUUAAUUUAAAUAAAAUCGAUAUGGGGCUGCAUUAGUACUGUUUUGUUAACGCUUUCCAUAAAAUACCUUUAAUGGAAUCAAUUAUAUUGCUUGAACAUUCAUUUCUUAAAUUAAUUACCUUAUUUCAGGUGGUAAAUUUUUAUCUAAGUA